rnacentral:rRNA from 1 species
AACGAACGCUGGCGGCGUGCCUAACACAUGCAAGUCGAGCGAGGAAGUCCGCAAGGAUGAGUACAGCGGCGCACGGGUGCGUAACACGUGGGUAAUCUGCCCUGAAGCUCGGAAUAACUUCCUGAAAGGGAAGCUAAUGCCGGAUAAGACCAUGGGAGCCCUGGCUCCUGCGGGAAAAGGUGGCCUCUGUACACAAGCUAUCACUUCUGGACGAGCCUGCGGCCCAUCAGCUAGUUGGCGGGGUAACGGCCCACCAAGGCUAUGACGGGUAGCUGGUCUGAGAGGACGAUCAGCCACACUGGAACUGAGACACGGUCCAGACUCCUACGGGAGGCAGCAGUGGGGAAUCUUGCGCAAUGGGCGAAAGCCUGACGCAGCAACGCCGCGUGUGUGAUGAAGGUCUUCGGAUCGUAAAGCACUGUCGGGAGGAAAGAACAAGCCUGUGGCUAACAUCCACGGGCUUUGACGGUACCUCCAAGGGAAGCACCGGCUAACUCUGUGCCAGCCGCCGCCGUAAGAC